GGGUCGUUGUAGACUACGACGUUGAUAGGACACAGGUGUAAGUGCAGUAAUGUAUGUAGCCGAGUGUUACUAAUCGCCCGAGACUUUCAAGCUA
rnacentral:rRNA from 1 species